AACGCAUGGCGGGGUGCUUAACAUGCAGUCGAACGGUGAAGCAGAGCUUGCUCUGUGGAUCAGUGGCGAACGGGUGAGUAACACGUGAGCAAUCUGCCCCUGACUCUGGGAUAAGCGCUGGAAACGGCGUCUAAUACCGGAUACGAGCUGCGACCGCAUGGUCAGUAGCUGGAAAGAAUUUCGGUCAGGGAUGAGCUCGCGGCCUAUCAGCUUGUUGGUGAGGUAAUGGCUCACCAAGGCGUCGACGGGUAGCCGGCCUGAGAGGGUGACCGGCCACACUGGGACUGAGACACGGCCCAGACUCCUACGGGAGGCAGCAGUGGGGAAUAUUGCACAAUGGGCGAAAGCCUGAUGCAGCAACGCCGCGUGAGGGAUGACGGCCUUCGGGUUGUAAACCUCUUUUAGCAGGGAAGAAGCGAAAGUGACGGUACCUGCAGAAAAAGCGCCGGCUAACUACGUGCCAGCAGCCGCGGUAAUACGUAGGGCGCAAGCGUUAUCCGGAAUUAUUGGGCGUAAAGAGCUCGUAGGCGGUCUGUCGCGUCUGCUGUGAAAACCCGAGGCUCAACCUCGGGCCUGCAGUGGGUACGGGCAGACUAGAGUGCGGUAGGGGAGAUUGGAAUUCCUGGUGUAGCGGUGGAAUGCGCAGAUAUCAGGAGGAACACCGAUGGCGAAGGCAGAUCUCUGGGCCGUAACUGACGCUGAGGAGCGAAAGGGUGGGGAGCAAACAGGCUUAGAUACCCUGGUAGUCCACCCCGUAAACGUUGGGAACUAGUUGUGGGGUCCAUUCCACGGAUUCCGUGACGCAGCUAACGCAUUAAGUUCCCCGCCUGGGGAGUACGGCCGCAAGGCUAAAACUCAAAGGAAUUGACGGGGACCCGCACAAGCGGCGGAGCAUGCGGAUUAAUUCGAUGCAACGCGAAGAACCUUACCAAGGCUUGACAUAUAGAGGAAACGUCUGGAAACAGUCGCCCCGCAAGGUCUCUAUACAGGUGGUGCAUGGUUGUCGUCAGCUCGUGUCGUGAGAUGUUGGGUUAAGUCCCGCAACGAGCGCAACCCUCGUUCUAUGUUGCCAGCACGUAAUGGUGGGAACUCAUGGGAUACUGCCGGGGUCAACUCGGAGGAAGGUGGGGAUGACGUCAAAUCAUCAUGCCCCUUAUGUCUUGGGCUUCACGCAUGCUACAAUGGCCGGUACAAAGGGCUGCAAUACCGUGAGGUGGAGCGAAUCCCAAAAAGCCGGUCCCAGUUCGGAUUGAGGUCUGCAACUCGACCUCAUGAAGUCGGAGUCGCUAGUAAUCGCAGAUCAGCAACGCUGCGGUGAAUACGUUCCCGGGUCUUGUACACACCGCCCGUCAAGUCAUGAAAGUCGGUAACACCUGAAGCCGGUGGCCCAACCCUUGUGGAGGGAGCCGUCGAAGGUGGGAUCGGUAAUUAGGACUAAGUCGUAACAAG
rnacentral:rRNA from 1 species